CUGAUUUAUGGAGCUGUACUGGGACUGUCUGGGACAGAAUUAACAUUCCCCACAGUAGCCCCUAGGGUGCUGUGCUCUGCACUUAGAGCUAGAACUCCACUGCCAUCGCAACAAUGUUUGGGCAAUUAUGGACCAGCGCUGGCACAACAUCAAGAUUCUUUCUCCAACACCUCCAAAGCCAGGAAGUGGAGGGUUGGCAAAAGGAGGGAGGGGACAUCACCAUGGCAGCUGACCCAUAUCAUCCAAAGGGAUAUUCCAUACCAUGUGAUGUCACACUCAGCAAUAAAAGGCAGGAAAGGGGAAGGAAAGCGGGGAGCUCUCAUUAUGAAGACAUCUGUCCUCCCAAACAAUCGCUAUGAGUAUUAAGGCCCUGCUUGCCAGGAGAUGGCCAAACAUCACUUUUUGAGAGGAAGUAGAGAAUAAUUUUCUUUUCUCUCUGUGCUUCUGUGCAGCCCUUGCUUAUUUCUCUCUCUUACUUUUCCCUUAUAUUAAUUUUUUUUCUUCUCACCCUCUUCUGAUGAGGGGGAGUAAGAGAGUGGUUGUGGUGGAGCUCACCAAGGAACAUAAGACAGACCACUUGUCAGGGCAAGGCACAUGCUGCAGAUCCUGUUCCUGCUGAGAUUCACUGGCAUUGUUAUCUUUGGAGAUUUUCUGGGCUUUUGUGUAAUUCUUCUUUGAAAUGGAGAACUCUAAUCAUUGAACAACAACACGUUGCUUCACUCCUACAGACUUGCCACAUGCACACUACCACGUGCCAAAGGAUGUGGACAGCACAGCUCUGGACAGCACAGCAGAGCUCUGUGCCUAUUCAGGCAAGCUGCCAUGCAGAACCCAAACUUCUCCAUGAACAAUCUCAGUGGGGAAGACUGCCCUGACAUCAGCCAUGGCCAAACAGUGCCUGUGCAGAAGAGAGAAGAGAAGGCAGAUGUAGCUGGGGAAGUGAGGACCCCACUGGGAGAGGAGACAAGAGCAGCCCCUGCACAUGAUGCGGCUCCCAGAGUUCCCCUGACUGUGACAAUCCUCAGAGGUUGCUCCUGCUGGAGGAGGGAGAAACCCCAGGGAGCAUUUGGGGCACAGUCAGACCAGAAUAUAUCUUGUCACUGAAUCUGCCCUUGUUCCCCCAGCAGAGUCAUUUCCGGCAGCUCUGUUCUCUUGGGGCUGGGAGGUGCUUUUCUGACUCUCUCCCACAGCAAACAGGAGGAUCGGUCUCAGCAUGCACCGUGGGUAUCUCAUCUUCACUGCCUUCCUGGAGCUCCUGCUGGAAACCACGGGGCAGGUGUCCGUCAUCCAGCAAGAAGGACAAGUCACCGUGGAGCAGGGAAACACCUUCCAGACCAAUUGCACAUAUGAAACCUCCAACUUUAAUGGCUUGCUCUGGUACCAGCAGAAGAAGGGACAAGCCCCUCAGCUGAUUACACGUCAAGCAGGAGCAGGCACCAAGCAGAAGGACCGUCUCACCACGGAGCUGAACACUGAGAGGAAAUCCAGUGUUCUGCAUCUGAAGGAAGUCGAGCUUUCUGACAGCGCCUUGUACUUCUGUUCUGUGAGUGACACCCUGGUGCAGGAAGGUGCCCUGGCUGUGCAACAACUCUGGAUGUGGAGGGGACUUGUUCUCCAGAAGGAUUCUGUCAUUUCCAAGACAAUUGUGAAUCUCCAAAUUGUGAAUAUGCUCCUCCAUCUCAGACUUCAGUGUUAGCCAGGAGAUAAUUCUGGCUCAGAAGCACCUAUUGAUUAUUGCUCUAACCCAAGCAAUGGAUGUGUUACGCGUAGAAAGUCUCGGUCCCAGUGUGAGAGCUGGGCCGGGGCUAAUACCUGAUAGGCCAGACUCCAGAGAGGCCUGGAUGAAGGCUCCAUCCAGUGAUGGCCCUGCACCACCUAAGAGGCUGGCUAGGCCAAGCUGACAAGAUUUGGCCAGCCCAGGCACAGGCACACAGGCAGCAGAGCUGGGGCAAUGCCAUGCUAGGCCUGAGCAUGAGCAGAGUCUUUGGACUAGGGGCCAAGAGUCCUUGUGAAAGUAAAGCACCCCCACACCACAGGGCCCCGAGGUGUGCAACUAUGGGAAGGCCCUCACCUGGGUGUGGAGAGCAGUGGGGCUACAUGGAGCACAAGGGCCACAUCAUCCUCAUGGCUCUGGGAACGCCAGAGGAGCUUGGUGCCUGGGAGAAGAUCCCCCAGCGUGUGCCCUGUGGUUGGGCUGGUGCAUACCCUGUGACAUUCAGGGCCCAUACACAGAUCUUGCUGAGUGCACAAUCAGGUCCCAUUCUCACUGCUAUGUCUCAGCAGAGACUCUGGGAUCCCUGCCCCCACAGAAUGUCUUUUCUGGAGCAUGGUGCAAUUGUGCCACCUAUGAGGUCUCUGAAUUCCAGGGCCUGAUGAAAGCUGAUCCAUGCUUGGGGAAAAUA